rnacentral:rRNA from 1 species
GUACUUGGUGUUACUGCGAAGGGGGGACGGAGAAGGCUAUGUUGGCCGGGCGACGGUUGUCCCGGUUUAAGCGUGUAGGUGUGUGUUCCAGGUAAAUCCGGUUCACUUUAACACUGAGGCGUGAUGACGAGGCACUACGGUGCUGAAGCAACAAAUGCCCUGCUUCCAGGAAAAGCCUCUAAGCAUCAGGUAACAUCAAAUCGUACCCCAAACCGACACAGGUGGUCAGGUAGAGAAUACCAAGGCGCUUGAGAGAACUCGGGUGAAGGAACUAGGCAAAAUGGUGCCGUAACUUCGGGAGAAGGCACGCUGACACGUAGGUGAAGUGAUUUACUCAUGGAGCUGAAGUCAGUCGAAGAUACCAGCUGGCUGCAACUGUUUAUUAAAAACACAGCACUGUGCAAACACGAAAGUGGACGUAUACGGUGUGACGCCUGCCCGGUGCCGGAAGGUUAAUUGAUGGGGUCAGCGCAAGCGAAGCUCCUGAUCGAAGCCCCGGUAAACGGCGGCCGUAACUAUAACGGUCCUAAGGUAGCGAAAUUCCUUGUCGGGUAAGUUCCGACCUGCACGAAUGGCGUAAUGAUGGCCAGGCUGUCUCCACCCGAGACUCAGUGAAAUUGAACUCGCUGUGAAGAUGCAGUGUACCCGCGGCAAGACGGAAAGACCCCGUGAACCUUUACUAUAGCUUGACACUGAACAUUGAGCCUUGAUGUGUAGGAUAGGUGGGAGGCUUUGAAGCGUGGACGCCAGUCUGCGUGGAGCCGACCUUGAAAUACCACCCUUUAAUGUUUGAUGUUCUAACGUGGACCCGUAAUCCGGGUUGCGGACAGUGUCUGGUGGGUAGUUUGACUGGGGCGGUCUCCUCCUAAAGAGUAACGGAGGAGCACGAAGGUUGGCUAAUCCUGGUCGGACAUCAGGAGGUUAGUGCAAUGGCAUAAGCCAGCUUGACUGCGAGCGUGACGGCGCGAGCAGGUGCGAAAGCAGGUCAUAGUGAUCCGGUGGUUCUGAAUGGAAGGGCCAUCGCUCAACGGAUAAAAGGUACUCCGGGGAUAACAGGCUGAUACCGCCCAAGAGUUCAUAUCGACGGCGGUGUUUGGCACCUCGAUGUCGGCUCAUCACAUCCUGGGGCUGAAGUAGGUCCCAAGGGUAUGGCUGUUCGCCAUUUAAAGUGGUACGCGAGCUGGGUUUAGAACGUCGUGAGACAGUUCGGUCCCUAUCUGCCGUGGGCGCUGGAGAACUGAGGGGGGCUGCUCCUAGUACGAGAGGACCGGAGUGGACGCAUCACUGGUGUUCGGGUUGUCAUGCCAAUGGCACUGCCCGGUAGCUAAAUGCGGAAGAGAUAAGUGCUGAAAGCAUCUAAGCACGAAACUUGCCCCGAGAUGAGUUCUCCCUGAGACUUUAAGUCUCCUGAAGGAACGUUGAAGACGACGACGUUGAUAGGCCGGGUGUGUAAGCGCAGCGAUGCGUUGAGCUAACCGGUACUAAUGAACCGUGAGGCUUAACCUU